GACGUAGGGCGCGAGCGUUGUCCGGAUUUAUUGGGCGUAAAGAGCUCGUAGGCGGCCUGUCGCGUCGACCGUGAAAACCCGCAGCUCAACUGCGGGCUUGCGGUCGAUACGGGCAGGCUGGAGUUCGGUAGGGGAGACUGGAAUUCCUGGUGUAGCGGUGAAAUGCGCAGAUAUCAGGAGGAACACCGGUGGCGAAGGCGGGCCUCUGGGCCGAGACUGACGCUGAGGAGCGAAAGCGUGGGGAGCGAACAGG
rnacentral:rRNA from 1 species